CUUUCUGGAGUCUGAAAUGUUAAGUAUGGAGGCAAAAGCUGAAGCUGGAGCAACAGUCUCAGAAUAUGACAACAACCAUGAGAAUGGAGGCCAUUCAUAGCAGAACUAUGAGACAAGAGGAGCCUAGGUCCCUGAGCUGCAGAACUGCAUACUAACCUGAUGAGAAGACUAAUGCUCAGUGAGGUGAACUCCUUCAGGGCCACAGCCUGUAAAGAUCUAAACACCAUCUGAUCCAGUUUCAAUAUGACUGCCUGGAUGAAGAAGGAUUUGAGACUAAGUUUAUUCCUCCAAAGCAAACCAACUGAGAAUGCAGAGACAGGGUCUUGCUAUGUUGCCCAGGCCAGUCUCAAACUCCUGGGCUCAAGCAAUCCACUCGCCUUGGCCUCUUAAAGCACUGGGAUUACAAGCGUGAACCACCACACCUGGCUGAAGAUUCAAGUUUGUAAAACAUCUGAUUUCCACUUGAAAGCUUGAAUUGUAUCAUUGGCAACAAAUAAUGUCAGUUAUUUUCCUUGAGAUGAAAACUUCACUUAGUUAUUACAAGAAAACUGCUGCCAUGUAGCCAACUGUGAAUGACCACAGUUUGCCUGUCAGUCAUUCUGUCAAGUAAAAUGGUGCUCCUCGAACAAAGCAGCACGUUUAGCUCACAACUCAACAACCACACAGCAGUCUUCCCCCCGCCCACCAUGGCACUUACAUUAAUAUAAGCAGCAGAGGUGCUUUAUGUAUGAGUAUUGUGCGAAAAUACUCAAAAGACCUGUAACCGAGGGUCAAGAUUACUACAAUUAAUUUCUACUG
rnacentral:lncRNA from 1 species